AUUGAACGCUGGCGGCAUGCCUUACACAUGCAAGUCGAACGGUAACGGGCCUUCGGGUGCCGACGAGUGGCGAACGGGUGAGUAAUGCAUUCGGAACGUACCUUUCAGUGGGGGAUAACGUAGCGAAAGUUACGCUAAUACCGCAUAUUCUGUGAGCCAGGAAAGCAGGGGAUUCGCAAGACCUUGCGCUGAUUGAGCGGCCGAUGUCAGAUUAGCUAGUUGGUGAGGUAAAGGCUCACCAAGGCGACGAUCUGUAGCGGGUCUGAGAGGAUGAUCCGCCACACUGGAACUGAGACACGGUCCAGACUCCUACGGGAGGCAGCAGUGGGGAAUUUUGGACAAUGGGCGCAAGCCUGAUCCAGCCAUGCCGCGUGAGUGAAGAA
rnacentral:rRNA from 1 species